UCCCUUUCUCCCCUCUCCCAAUUUCUAAAUUGUUAGAUGGAUUCAUCUUGAUCUCAGACGUUAGUUAGUGAUUUUGUUCUCUCCUUUCCAUCUAAUGAUGGAUUCCUUCUUCUAAGAUUAGUUAGUAACUUAAGCACCAAAUACAAAGUUAUUUGGACAAAGAAAAGAGCAUAUGGCAAAAUUCUCGGAAAUCCCUUGCUAGCAUUUUUCUCUCUGAACUGUUGUUGGUUGAUAGACCAAUGACCAUCACGACUUGCACUUACAUGAUGCAUUCUGCCUAUGUUUUUGGGGUGAAAUUUUGCCUUCUCUUAGGUUGUGUUCUGCUAGGUAUAAGUUUGGCUGCAAUUUGUUUGUGCUAAUGUCUGUAAGAGCUGUUGCAGUACACCUAUAUCCACAUCGAUGUAAACAAAAAACUUGGACAUAUAUGGUACUAUUUUCUACCAUGGACAAAACAAAUUUUCCUAGAAAGAGUUUUUGUACAUUAUACUUAUAUCUAUGCUGGAUGUUAAUAAUCUGUUUUGUGUUAGUCAAAUUGUUUAAAGCCGGAGCUGGGUCAAGGAGCUGGCCUCCGCCUUCGCCAUUGCCUGAGAGAAGCAACGCCGGUGUUCGGCGUUUCGUGUGCAGAGUGCGUGAGUUAGUGAUUUUGUUCCAUCCUUUCCAUCUCAUGAUGUGAUUCUUUCUUUUAAGAUGAAUUAGUAACUUUGUGUGGACGUGGCAGCACAACCUGCUGGUUGUCGUAAUGCCUACCUCAAAGAGAUUUAACUGGUUAGAAAAUUAUUUUUCUACUUGGCUGUUUUGCACAUGAUGAGGUAUGACAUGGAAUGGUUGGAUUUUUAGUGGUAGGUGAUCCUUAUGCUGGCGGUGAUAUCGGCCAUCACUGGUAUACAACAAUCCGGUGACUGUCUCAUGUGUGCUCCUAUCCUCCCCACCUCUCCCAGAUGCUUAAUGUUUAGAAAACUAAUGAUUUGGUUAUUUGAUGUUCAUACAUAAUCUAGGUUGUUCUUGAGCUCCAUGGCUGGCCUUAGAUUAGCAAUUCGACAUCGGCACACUUUACUCGAAUCUAUACCAUAGGUGAAUACCUUGUCUAUUUGGUUUUUCUUCAUGAAUGCUAAUAACUUGUAUCGUGUCUACACUGAUGUAUGUACUCAUAUCUCUUUUGAAUCUGUUUAAAUAAGCUGCAACUAUGUGCGAGAGGCUUGGUUAAUGCAGGGAUCAUAGAAGCUUAACGCCGCAAAUUAGGUGUAGUACAAAUAUGUCUUCUAAUGUUCACAAGCACUCACCUGCGAGUAUGAUGUUCUCCGCCUGCUUAUAACCUUCUGGUGCAGAAAUAGAGCUAUUGAUACCCUUCAUGUUAAUUGUCUGCAUAUACACAUCUUUGCUUCCUGAACCGUUUUGUUUUAUGACUCAGGCCACCCCUAAUGCUCAGGCUGAUGCUUCUUCGCUUGAUGCUGAAGAAAAGGAUGAACAGAUUCAGACGCCCAAAUAUCAAAAGAGAGUUGGGCCAGGGAAGAAAUCAAAGCAGUGACGGCUCUGCACUAGUUGUGCAGUGAUCAAAAGUCUAUAGGCUAUUUUGCAUAUUAAUUUCUUUAUAUUUUCCUACUGCACAUGCCUAAAUCUCACAUGGCAUUCCUCGAAGCUCUACCUACAUCUACAGCUGCACAAAAGCUUGGAUCUUUGUAGUGUGUCUCCUCAUCAGUAGAGAUUACAUAGCGUUCAAGACCUGGCGGGGCUGGGCCAACCGGUCCUUCGUGUUCAAGAUCUGGCCCUGAUGAGCCCUAACAACCCGUGCUACCGGACGGGCACCUUCUUCCUGAGCCGGGUCCGGAACCAGACCAACAGGGACACACUGAGCGAGUACUCGAGGCAUGCCGUCAAGUCGGAGGAGUGCAACCAGGCAGCUGCCGUGGGUGUCCAGGUUCAUACUGUCAAGGUGUUCGCUCAUUGCCCAGUACGAGUGGAAAUGGGUUGUUAUUUCGUAAUGUGUUUCGGGCGACAUGGUGACAUUGCUGCAAACGAGGAAGGAACAUAUGGUUGACACUGAUGCAUGUAAUGGGUUAUCCACAGUAUAUCUUAAUUUUGAAUGUGUCAUGUUCUGUACGUAUAUGUUAUAAUUGAGCCUUUUGUCAGCCUCUACGUUAUGUGAGUUUCCAAAAUUUUUGCU